rnacentral:lncRNA from 10 species
AAUUGCAGUCCUUGUGUCUUAGACUGCUUUUCAAGUUUACCUAGGACCCCAAAGUACUUCAGCCCAUGCUGGCAAGGUUUGCUGAGAAACUCAAAUUCUGACUGCUGGAAUGGGGCAAUUCCCCUCUGGCUAGGGCUGGUCCAACUUCUUCCAUGCACAGGCACUGGCUGAUCCCAGUGUGGCUUUAUUCUCUACUGUGACAGGACAUUACUGAGUUCAAUGUAAAGUCCCCCAGUCGCUGAGCUCUCCUUCCCCAAAGGGCACAGAUUGUCUUUCUGCACUGCACAGUCAUUGUCCAGAGGUGGGAGAAAGGGCAUUGGCAAUUCAAGACUGUCUAUCUUGCCCUCCUCAAUGCCUCUUUUGACAAUAUGAAGUUAAAACCAGGUACUGUGAUUGCUCACCUGAUUUUGGUUCUUGUGAUGUUGCUUUUCUGUGUGGAGGUAGUUGUUAAAAUUUGGUGUUUUAGCAGGGGAGAACAAUGGUGUAGGCUUCUGUUUUGUCAUCUUGCUCCAUCCUCUCUCCUUGGGUAUUUUACAUUACAAUUUAAUUUCCAUAGAAAUUAUAGGGCUGUUCAGACGAGAUCGGGCACAUUCCGGGUGGUAUGGCCGUAGGCUAUAGGCCUAUUCAAAUGGUCUAUUUCAUAUUGGGUCUGCCGUGAUAUCUCCUGUUUCAUUCCUGCAUCGUUAGAUAUUCUGGCAUCUCUGGCAUCUUGAUGUUAUCACGUAUGAAUUUUUUUUUGUCGUUUAAUUUCAGAUAUUCCUGGUUCUUGCUGUGAUGAGUAGUUUUUGAUGGAAACUUUUCAAUCAUCAAACAAUACAUUUUCAUAUUUUGUUAUAAGGUUCUGGAUUUUAUUUGAGCUUUUGGUUUUAGCUGGCUUUAUUUUACUACACUCUGUUAGAGGAAGGGACACUGCCUCAUUACUGCCAGGUGGAGGGACAAGUUCAGACUCUCCAAAAGUAAAAAACAAAACAGGCAUAGAGCCAGAAGAGCAAAGAAAGCAGCAAAGAGGUCCAUCCACUUAUGAGAGAACUGAAUAAAUAGCCAGAAGAUGGAAAACAAGGGAAAUAAAUGAUGACAAAGUAGAGAAAGAGACAGACCAACUACACGAAGAAGUUUGCUUCCAAGGAAAUCCUUCUCCAGUGACCAGAGGAAUGACCAGCUCCCCACCUUCUCACUGUCCAGCAGUCCCUGCUAACCCACAGGUCUUUAAUUUACCUGGACCUGAUGGUUGCGUAUAAAGUGAGGAAACGGUCCAAUUUUUUGUCUUUUUGUAUGAAUACUCAACAGUCUAAAAACUAUUCAUUGUAAUAUCUGUCAUUUUUCCACUUGUCUGCAAUGCCACCUCUGUCAUCUAUCACGUGUUCAUUAUAGAUCUCUGAUACCAUGCCAAAUUAAAUGGUGACAGUGGAAAUCCUUGUCUUAUUUCUGGUGAUGAAGAUUAGGUUCUUCAAUGCGGACACUGAGGUGAAGUUGGUGGUGCAAGAUGAGAGGAAGCUGGCUUACGGCACAGGGAGAAGCUGAACUUCGGUGCAACUCCCACAAACCUUAGCCAACUUGGUGGGGAGCUUUGGUGCCAAUAUUUCCUGUUGAAGUAGUCCUGUCUUGGACUUCUCAGCAUUGUACUAGGCCCUUAAGCACCCUCUUCAAUCAGUUAUUAGAUACAAGACAGCUCAGGAAGACCGUGGCAUUAGGACAGGCAGCUCUCUGCAGCUGAGGCAGCCCCGGUAGGAGCUGACAGCUGAAGAUUGUCUGGAAACUGUACCACCUACCACCAGGCAGUGAGUCCUUCUCCGAAAAAGGAUCUGGGUCAGAUGGAUGCUCAUUAACUUUCACGCACCUUUGUUUUCUCACAUACACAUCAAGUCUGUGAAUGUCCUUCUAAUCUCUGCUUUAUGUGUAUUACACAGUUCUGCGAUGUGUUUUUGUUAGUAUUCAGUACAAACACAUUUAAAAACAUUUGUCAUUAUGAUUUCUUUUUUGACACAUAGAUAUAGUUAGAUGUAUUUUUCUUAACUUCUAAAAUGUAUAGUUUUUGCCAGCUAUAUUUUUGUCAUCAGUAUUAGUUUAACUACAACAUGCUUAUAAAUAUAAUCGGCAUGAUUUCAUCAUUUUAAACUUUAUUGAGACUUGCUUUAUGUCCCAAUAGUCAAUUUUGUAAAUGAUAUUCUUCAAAAAAAUGUGUAUUCUGUAGUUGUUAGGUGUUCCUAUUCGAGAGGCUGUAACCAGGGUCUCCAACCACCAGAAAGGAAUGCUAUCUGCUAGUGGCUACUGUGGAUUAUUUUUUCAUUAUCCUCCUUUAAAAUGCAAAUAUCCUUUGGAGUGUUGAGUAAUGAACGUCUUAAAAUUGGGUAUGAGAAUGAACUGAAUUACCGAGGGAGUGGGAUUUGUGGGAAAGGACACACACACUCACACACACUCACACACACACCACUGUUUAUUGCAGGCUUAGUAACAUGCAAGUUUAUUGUGUUCACAUACAUUAUUUCACUGAAUCCCCACAAUAAUUCUGAGAGAAGGGUAUUCUACCCAUUUUAUACAUAGGAAGCUGAGGCUCAAAGAGUUUAAAGAGCUUGCUAAUAUUUGAACUCAGAGGUAUCUGAUACUGGAUUCCAUGCUCUUAAUUGCUAUGUGCCUGUCUCCCCAUAACUAGCCUCAGUUCCUUUAAUACACUAAUUUGGUCAUCUGAUUCACAAUGCAGUUAUCAUUACAUUUGUAAAGGUUUUCUCUGAUUCUAAUGGAUAUUGAAAAGAUAAGUGAUGGCAGAAUCACUUAUUCUUUAAUUUUUAAGCAUUAUCAGUGAAUCAUUAUGUAGACGGCUUAGGCUAUGAGCUCAAGAUUAUGUUAUGAGCUCAAGAAAUGCAAAGGUAAAGAAAACACAGUCCAGUCCAGUAAGAUUGGGAGACAGACAUGUGUACACACAAUGAGAAGUCAUGAAGGGAAGGUGGGCUGGCUGUGGAAUUAGUCACCUUGAAGUCUGUCUAAGGAGAGGGCUGGUAUCAGGGUGUGGACAUUUUACAUUUCUAUCACAGCAUUGUAGUUGAUCUUAGAGACUCCUACCGAAGUUUGGGGAGAAGAGAGGUAAUACAGGGAUUUAUUUUAAAUUUCUUCUUAUAAUUAGGUCAAUUCCAGAAUAUGAGGAAUGAAUGACAGUUCAAACACAGUGUCUGAAAAAGGUAACCACAUUUUGUAAAGAUUCCUUAAAUCAAUAGGUUGAAAUUCCAGUAAUAGAGCUCCAAAAUUUCAGGGGAGCCUAUCCUAUGGGAAAGCAGAGCCCUGUUGCUGGAAAUCCACUAAGCCAUUUACAAGGAGUAAAGAAGGGCUUUCUGAAAUGUUGACUUAGGGACACAGAGCUUAAACUCAGAGCACUUAUUUUCUUCUCUGCUCUCCGGCUUUCUGUCUCUGGCUGCAUCAUUAUUCUUUAUUGACUAUUUCAUAAACUCACAUUCCCUCAGCUUGGUUAAGGAAGGCAGUCUUUAAUCUUGGCGGAGCAGAUAAGGACAAUUAAAUCCUGGGCCUGCUUCCUGACACAGAUGACGGGGCUGCCUUCCUGGAACAUCAUCUUCAUGUCAUGGGUUCUGCUGUCACUUAUUUUGUUCAGAAUGUGUCAGGACAGCUAGCAUGACCUCAGCAUUCCCCUCAGGCUGGUGCUUCUUUAAUGCUGAAUAAAAUGUUCUCCUGGACUCUUUCAGGGUGGAUUUGAGACCCAGCCCUGUGGGCUGAAGGAGGAUGGGUGCAGGUCUGUGAAUCUCUUCUUAAUCUUUCAGCUAGAAAUAACUACUCCUUUCUGUGGUCCUUUUGCAAUUUACUCAUGGCUUCUUUUCUUUUCUUUUACUUCUUUUAUUUUCUUUUAUGAUUGUUCUUACAAUAGCCUGCUUUGAUCUCCACUACGUCUGGUUAUUGGAGAAUACAUCAACUGUUUUGUUGACUCAGCAAUACUUAAUCAAUUCUAAUUUCAGCACUAUUUCUUUUGAAAAUUCCUCUCACCUACUUUUGCCAGUAUAGUAAGGCUAUCAGUUUCAGCAGUAGGUUUCUUUGAUCUCCAGAACAGGUUUAGGAUCCAGGUUUGGCCCAUCAUAGUACACCAUUAUUUUGGCUUCAGUGAUUGGCUCCUCAGUGAAAUCAUGAUCCUAAAGUUGACCAAUCAGAGGUUUUUCCUGGGGAUUUUUAUAUAUGGAUACUGGGGACAGAUGGUAUUUUUUUCCUCUUGUAGUGCAAGCUGAAAGAAUGUGGUUACAAAUCUAAUUAUGGUGAUGCCCUUUAACUUAUGGAUGGGCAUAAGGGAGUGAGGCCAAAAUGCAACUUUAAGCCAAGCGAGAGAUAGAGAGAUGGAGACUGCUAGUCGGGAUGCUGUUUGAAUCCCUGAAUGCAGUCUUUCCUGAGACUAAAUUAUAUUUAGUCUUUUAACCGUAACUGCUAAAAGUAAUUUUUUACUUUUAAACUUAGAAUAUAAGUUCAAAGAGUGAAAGCAGAGAUUUUUCUUUACAUUUUCACUGCUAUAAUUCCAAAUGCCUAGAACAGUGCCUGUCACAUAGUAGGCAGUCAAUUAAUAUUUGCUUAAUGAAUAUUUGCAACUGAAUGAAACAGGAUAAUCAGAGUAUGCAUGUCUUCCUAACUGUUUUAAGGGAUUCUUGGGAAAAAAACCCAGGGAGCAAUUAUCAUAGAGUUGUUGGAAUUAAAGCUAGUUUGUGGGACUGUCCUGAGAAUUUAUUGUUAUUGAAAUUUUUUUAAAUUUUGAAGUGUAACACACAGAAAAGUGCAUAAAGCACAAAUAAGCAGUGUAAUGGGAUUAUUUAUAAAGUGGACCCAUGACCACUAGGUAGUUCAAGAAAUAGAAGGCUUCCAGCCUUCCAGAAGCUUCUCGUAUUUCCCAUCUGGAAUAUUUCCCUCUGUACCAGCCAGAGGUAAACAACAUGCUGAAUUUUAUGGUAAUCACUUCAUUGCUUUGUUUUAUAAUUGUAGCCCCACUAUAUGCAUCACAGGACAAUGCUAUUUAGUUUUGAA